UACAGAGGUCUCAAGCGUUGUUCGGAUUCAUUGGGCGUAAAGGGUGCGUAGGCGGCGCGGUAAGUCGGGUGUGAAAUCUCGGGGCUCAACCCCGAAACUGCACUUGAUACUGCCUUGCUAGAGUACUGGAGAGGAGACUGGAAUUUACGGUGUAGCGGUGAAAUGCGUAGAUAUCGUAAGGAAGACCAGUGGCGAAGGCGGGUCUCUGGACAGUUCCUGACGCUGAGGCACGAAGGCCAGGGGAGCAAACGGG
rnacentral:rRNA from 1 species